UGAUGCAGUCAAAAUUUCUGUUGCAGACAUGCAAUAAUGAGGAUGGCACCAGGAUAAAGAAACACACUCCAUGCACUAAACAGAAGCUGCUGCCCGCUACAAGGCCAUUGUGUGGACUUUGGCUGCUACUACAAGAGUCUGUGCCAAGCACAUCUUGGUCAUCAUGGGAGCCCCCAUCUACACCAACAGGAAGGGGCUGGAGCCGAAUUCGCGAGGCUUUACGCCACGAACAAAGAAGCGCAUGCAGAGGAAUUUGGAUGAGAUAUAACGUCUGCGGACGACUGUGUCAAGAGUGAAAAGAGCCUCCGCCAUCAUUCCACCAACACGGAUAUUGGCCAAGUCAUCCAGGCACCUUGCCUCCAGCCGGCGAAAAUGGACAGACAAGGUUCAACGCACAUGCUUUGGAGUUACUGCAAACAUUCACCGGACAUCAAUGCACACAUUCGCUGCUACCACGUUCUACCUAGGUGGUUUGUGUGAAAAUUGGUGCACGAGGACUGAUCGGCAUCCGAAUGGUGUACUGCUGCAUGCCCUUUUGCUGCUUCCGCUCUGGGAAAUGCCCAGGCGUGUCAUUUCAUCAGUUUCCAAGUGACGGAGACUUUAUUUAUUUUCAUACUCUCAGGACCAGAGGCCAUUACAGAGAGGAGUGUUCUAACAAUAAAUUCUUAAUCUCAACUUUAAAGGCGGCAGGGUCUUCGAUUCCAGCGAUGGAAGCGGGAAGGUGGUCCCAGUCACUGCUUGUUUGUUAUAAAAAAAGACGCAUGGCAAGUGUUAGUGCGACAUAAAGGAAUCUUAACCUUGAGUUCAUGAUCGAUCUGUGAGGACACGUAAUCUGUAGGGAGGAAAAGCUCGUUUUUAAGUGUUGGUUUAGCGUAAAAAAUUUUGUGUAAAAAAUAAAGGUUUAAGCGGAAGCACUUGCGGUGUGACCGAAGUGACAGUAGACCUAAAUUAGAUUUCAUUGAAGAGAGGCUGGCGUAGCAAACAUAAUUACAGAUAUCCCAUAUCGGGCAGCACGGUUCUGAAUUAACAGAUUCAAGGGCGGUGAUUAAUGCGGAGCUAGAUGGGUCGCAGAUAGAGCAAGUAUAUUCUAAUUUCCAUCUAAGCAGGGUUGUGUAUAAUUUAAUCUUUAUAUUGGAGGGAACGGAAGAAAAAUUACGCCAUAGAAAUCCUAGCAUGCGAUUAGUGUUGUUAAUUACAUGUUCAACGUGUAUAUUCCAAGAGAGGUUGUGAGUUAUAUGCACUCCAAGAUAGCGGUAACUAGUAACGCAAGUUAAAGAAGAGUUAUUAAGGGUAUGAGCAAAGUUAUAAUUAACUUUAUUGGGAUGCAUUACUGUCAUGGCCUUACAUUUUGAAGUAUUUAGUUUCAUAAGCCACUUGUUGCACCAGUUAGAAGUAGCGUCAAUGUCGGAUUGCAAAAUAGAAAUGUCCUGUUGGUUAUUACUUACACAAUAAAGCUCACAGUCAUCAGCAAAGAGUUUAAUUUUAGAGUUAAUCCCGACAGGUAAGUCGCUAAUAUUAAUAAGAAAUAGUAAUGGGCCCAAAACCACUCCUUGUGGUCCGCCUGAAGUAACAAGAACGGUAGGAGAUUCAUAAUCAUUAGCGUGAAUGUACUGUAAGCACUUAGUCGGAAAGCAUUGAAUCUAGCAGUCUAGAUAUUAGGGUCUAUAAUAAGCUUGCUGUUGAGCUUGCUCAGUUGUGCGCCAAAUGGAAAAAAAAAAAACAUAUUGCAAGGAAGGAUUGAACUAUCAACGAUAAGUCGCUGUCUACAGUCGUGUGUAUGCUACACUUUCUUUCGACCGACUACGCUCCAGAGUGCCGCAUUAAGAAACUUGCCUGGCGCUGUCCCCACGGUUUUCGAAGGCUGUCCGAUCUACCUGACGCCUCCCACAAAAAAAAAAAAAAGAAGAUACCUUGCAACGACCUUGCUGCUCGGGCUGUCCCUGUUCCAAAACAAACCAAGCGAAAAGCUGAGCCGCUUGAAUCGCUGCCUGUGGAAUGCAACCUGUCAGACUGCCUCUAUGAACGCACUAAAAGCAUCAGUACGCAAACUACAAACGAUGGCCAGAGAGCAAGCCAAUACCCCUCUGUGAUCUCAAAGUUUCACUCAAGUUUCAUAUCACCGUUCCAAAAGCCAGAAGCUACUAAAAAAGCUCGCAAUGGAAGAACAACACACCGUAUUCUAUCGCAAAAGCAAACAUCAUGCUUCGGUCGGGAGAAUCAUGGCAGACUCGCAGACCUUGGCGGCAGACGUGGAGUGUCCUUUUUGCCACA